rnacentral:rRNA from 1 species
ACGCUCGACACCUACGGGAGGCAGCAGUGGGGAAUAUUGCACAAUGGGGGAAACCCGUGAUGCAGCGACGCCGCGUGAGCGAAGAAGUAUCUCGGUAUGUAAAGCUCUAUCAGCAGGGAAGAAGAUGACGGUACCUGACUAAGAAGCACCGGCUAAAUACGUGCCAACAGCCGCGGUAAUCUGAGGCGGGCUGGCAAGGC